rnacentral:rRNA from 1 species
CCUACGGGUGGCAGCAGUGGGGAAUAUUGCACAAUGGGCGAAACCCUGAUGCAGCGACGCCGCGUGAGUGAUGAAGUAUUUCUUUAUGUAAAGCUCUAUCAGCAGGGAAGAAAAUGACGGUACCUGAGUAAGAAGCCCCGGCUAACUACGUGCCAGCAGCCGCGGUAAUACGUAGGGGGCAAGCGUUAUCCGGAUUUACUGGGUGUAAAGGGAGCGUAGACGGCAUUGCAAGUCUGGAGUGAAAGGGGGGGGCUCAACCCCCGGACUGCUCUGGAAACUGUACGGCUGGAGUGCAGGAGAGGUAAGUGGAAUGCCUAGUGUAGCGGUGAAAUGCGUAGAUAUUAGGCAGAACACCAAUGGCGAAGGCGGCUUACCGGACUAUAACUGACGUUGAGGCACGAAAGCGUGGGGAGCAAACAGGAUUAGAUACCCCAGUAGUC